rnacentral:piRNA from 1 species
UGAUCAUCCGUCUUGAGUUUCAUGUGUUCUU